UACAGAUGUCUCAAGCGUUGUUCGGAUUCAUUGGGCGUAAAGGGUGCGUAGGCGGCGCGGUAAGUCGGGUGUGAAAUCUCGGGGCUUAACUCCGAAACUGCAUUCGAUACUGCCGUGCUUGAGGACUGGAGAGGAGACUGGAAUUUACGGUGUAGCGGUGAAAUGCGUAGAUAUCGUAAGGAAGACCAGUGGCGAAGGCGGGUCUCUGGACAGUUCCUGACGCUGAGGCACGAAGGCCAGGGGAGCAAACGGG
rnacentral:rRNA from 1 species